rnacentral:rRNA from 1 species
AACGAACGCUGGCGGCAUGCCUAACACAUGCAAGUCGAACGAGACCUUCGGGUCUAGUGGCGCACGGGUGCGUAACGCGUGGGAACCUGCCCUUAGGUUCGGGAUAACUCCCCGAAAGGGGUGCUAAUACCGGAUAAUGUCUUCGGACCAAAGAUUUAUCGCCUUUGGAUGGGCCCGCGUUGGAUUAGCUAGUUGGUAGGGUAAAAGCCUACCAAGGCGACGAUCCAUAGCUGGUCUGAGAGGAUGAUCAGCCACACUGGGACUGAGACACGGCCCAGACUCCUACGGGAGGCAGCAGUGGGGAAUAUUGGACAAUGGGCGAAGGCCUGAUCCAGCAAUGCCGCGUGAGUGAUGAAGGCCUUAGGGUUGUAAAGCUCUUUUACCCGGGAUGAUAAUGACAGUACCGGGAGAAUAAGCUCCGGCUAACUCCGUG